rnacentral:rRNA from 1 species
UACGAAGGGUGCAAGCGUUACUCGGAAUUACUGGGCGUAAAGCGUGCGUAGGUGGUUCGUUAAGUCUGAUGUGAAAGCCCUGGGCUCAACCUGGGAAUGGCAUUGGAUACUGGCGACCUAGAGUGCGGUAGAGGGGUGUGGAAUUCCCGGUGUAGCAGUGAAAUGCGCAGAUAUCAGGAAGAACACCAAUGGCGAAGGCAGCUCUCUGGGACGGUACUGACGCUGAGACGCGAAAGCGUGGGGAGCGAACAGG